rnacentral:rRNA from 1 species
GCUCAGCAGUCGAGAAACCUUCGCAAUGCGGGAAACCGCGACGAGGGGACUCCCAGUGCCUACGCUCAGCGUAGGCUGUUCCCGAGCCUAGAAAGCUCGGGGAGUAAGGGCUGGGUAAGACGGGUGCCAGCCGCCGCGGUAAUACCCGCAGCCCGAGUGGUGGCCACUAUUAUUGGGCCUAAAGCGUCCGUAGCCGGCCCGGUAAAUGCCUGGGUAAAUCGUGAGGCCUAACCUCACGAAUUCCGGGUAGACUGCCGGGCUAGGGACCGGAGGAGGGAGAGGGUACUCCAGGGGUAGGGGUGAAAUCCUGUAAUCCCUGGAGGACCACCGGUGGCGAAGGCGCUCUCCUAGGACGGGUCCGACGGUGAGGGACGAAAGCCAGGGGAGCGAACCGGAUUAGAUACCCCUGUAGU